rnacentral:rRNA from 1 species
GACGAACGCUGGCGGCGUGCUUAACACAUGCAAGUCGAACGGAAAGGCCCUGCUUUUGUGGGGUGCUCGAGUGGCGAACGGGUGAGUAACACGUGAGUAACCUGCCCUUGACUUUGGGAUAACUUCAGGAAACUGGGGCUAAUACCGGAUAGGAGCUCCUGCUGCAUGGUGGGGGUUGGAAAGUUUCGGCGGUUGGGGAUGGACUCGCGGCUUAUGAGCUUGUUGGGGGGGUAGUGGCUUACCAAGGCUUUGACGGGUAGCCGGCCUGGGAGGGGGACCGGGCUCCUGAGGACUGCGAGACGGCCCAGACGCGUAUGGGAGGCAGCAGGGGGGAAUCUGACGCAGUGGGCCGGAGCCAGAGAUGGAAACCCCGCGUUCGUGAUGACGUGUUACGGGUUGUAAACCGCUGUGUCCGGAGACGAAGCGUGGGUGACGGUAAUGGGUAAAGAAGCACCGGCUAACUACGUG